GUUCCAUGGGGCUGGUGAGAUGGG
rnacentral:piRNA from 1 species